rnacentral:lncRNA from 1 species
AAAAUUAACCUCUUUAAAAUUUAUGAUUACUACUCUUAAUAAUAUAUUCUUAAGAAUUGAACUUUCUUACUUUUUUUUCACAUCCCAAUUCCAUUUAAGUGAUUAUUGAAUCUAAUUAUAAUUCAAAAGUCCCUCCCGUUGAAUUUUAAUACUGUUAUCAUUAAUUUUAUUAUACAGACUAACGGUAAUAUUGUUGAACUUAAUGAUUUUAAAAUUAUACUUUCAAAAUCACAGUGACUAUUUAGUAUAUUUUUGAAAGUAUAAGGAUUGAAUAAUAAUUUUUCUAAAUAAGAAAGUAUAUAUAUAUUGUUUUGUCAUUCAUUUAACCUGACCCCAGACCAGGAAAAGGGAGAGAGGUGAUGUUUGAAACUUUGAGCUAAAAGGUAGUAAAGGACAGGCAGAAAUUAAUCACAAACUUAAAAGCCUACAGUAAUUUUGUUUGAAAAACCAAUGUAGUUUGUACAUGUUGGUUGGCUAGUUGGCCAAUUUUUUCUUUUUCUAUAACUAUACCUAUAUUAAUCUGUUGUAGAAAUUAAUUUAUAUUCGUAUUAAAUAACUUUAGUAAAAAUUAAAAUAUUUUAGCGAUUACUCGUUUCAUCUAUUAUGAGAGUUAAACUCUUAUCUCGUCUAAAUAUGUUAAACUACUCAAUUCAAUACUCAUUGAUUUUAACUAACGGUAUUUAUUAGAUUGCAUAAAGUAAGGACUAUAAAUCUUUAUCUAAUGUAUAGGGUCCAUCACCGACACUAAUAAACAGAAAAAAACUUCUAUCUUCUGAUAUCUGAACAAGCUUCCAAUCAUUCCAACCAAAAACAUGGGAAAGCUGAGUUGUUUUGGGAUACUUGUCUUUGCAUUUUUAGCUUAUAUAGCCUCAACUGAAGCUCAACUUCAAAUGGGUUUUUAUUCUCAAAGCUGCCCAAGAGCUGAGCAAAUUGUACAAGAUUUUGUUAACCAGCACAUCCAUAAUGCUCCAUCACUUGCAGCUACCAUCAUUAGAAUGCAUUUCCAUGAUUGCUUUGUCAGGGUAAAUUAAUCUCUCCAUUGCUUGUUUCCCUUUCUGUUUCUUGAUCCAAGUUAAUUAUAUUUUGGUUUAACUUUCAGGGUUGUGAUGGGUCUGUGCUUAUAAAUUCAACAUCAAACAAUCAAGCUGAAAAAGCUGCAAUUCCAAAUCUAACUCUAAGAGGCUUUGAUUUCAUUGAUAGAGUUAAGAGCUUGCUUGAAGAAGAGUGCCCUGGUGUAGUCUCCUGUGCAGAUGUUAUUGCUUUGGUUGCCAGGGACUCCAUUGUUGCUACUGUAAGAGAACUACUCAAAUCAGUUUCCAAAAUUAACUCCAACCUAUUAAAAAUUUUUGUUGAUUUUCUUGUUUUUGUUUCUGGGUUCCAACAGGGUGGUCCUUCCUGGAGAGUUCCAACGGGAAGAAGAGAUGGAACAAUCUCAAAUGCUUCAGAAGCCCUGGCAAGCAUCCCAGCUCCGACGAGCAACUUCACCAAUCUCCAGAGACUUUUUGGCAAUGUGGGCCUGGACUUGAAAGACUUGGUGUUGCUUUCAGGCGCACACACAAUCGGAGUAGCUCAUUGUCCAGCAUUUUCAAAUCGCCUGUACAAUUUCACAGGCGUAGGAGAUCAGGAUCCUGCUCUGGAUAGUGAAUAUGCAGCAAAUCUCAAGGCAAGGAAGUGCACAACUCCUAAUGAUAAUACCACAAUUGUUGAGAUGGAUCCUGGAAGUCGGAAAACUUUUGAUCUCAGUUAUUAUUCUAAUUUGAUCAAGAGAAGAGGACUUUUCCGAUCAGAUUCUGUCUUGACUACAAACUCUGAUACGUUGAGUAUAAUCAACCAGCUGCUCAGUGGUUCACUGCAGUAUUUCUUUGAUGAAUUUGCUGCUUCCAUGGAGAAAAUGGGUAGAAUCAAUGUCAAAACUGGCUCUGCUGGUGAGAUUAGGAAGCUGUGUUCAGUGGUGAACAGCUGAAUAAGGGAUUUAUUAUUAUUAUUAUUGUUUAUUAGUGUUCCUGGUUUGGUUGUUUUGGCUUUGAAUGAACUUUGUCUAAUCUCUUUAGAGAUUAGCAAAUGAUAAAGUUAUUUAUUUGAAUAUGUGGUUUUUAAGUUUGUUUUUAAUUAAUUAUGUGGCUAUUUUGAAAAAUUAAUUUUAUAAUUUGGGGAAGAACUUGUCUGCACCCGUUAUUAAUUCAAAUUAUCAAUUAAUUUUGGUUUGUUGCAAUAAUCUCAUCCUUAUUUUUAAAAUAUAUUUUAAUUAAAAUAAUAAUAUAGUUAUUUUUCUUUAGAUUAAUUUAGAAAGAUUUAGAAUUAUUUUUCUAUUAUAAAUGUGUUCUUAAUUUUAUGUUUAAUAAUUAUAGAAAUACAUUAUAAUAAGAGGAAAAUAAAGACAAUGAAAUGAAAUGGUGAAAAUAGAUAAUGAAAACAAGUAAAUAAAAUGAGAAACAAAUAAUUCGAAUGAAGGAAAACAGAGAAAAUGAAAAAAAUAAUAAUAAAAUGAAUUAAAAAAUUAGUGUUAACAAAUAUAUAAUGCAAUUUACUAAUGAAUUUCUCGUAGGAAAGCAUAAAAGUAUAAAAGUAGACAUUGUUAUAUUCAAAUGGGUUUAACCGCUUUAGAGAAAUAACUUGAUUCCUUUAUACUAAAAGAAGAAAUAAUCUUAAUUUUUAUAAAAUUAAAAAAAAUAUAUAUCAAUCAAAUAAAUAGAAUUUUAAUUUUUUUAAAAAAAAUUUAUAAUUUUUUAAUUAAAUUAUUCCCAUGUCAUAAUUCAAAAUUAAUUAUUGAAUUUUCGUAAUUGUUAUUUCAAAUUUAAAAUGGUUUUCAAGAUUGCCUCUUGUAACAAGCAAUUGCAAAUUUAUUAAAAAUAGAAACUUAUCUCUUUUUUAAAAUUUAACUAAAUACCAUUAUGGUGGAAUAUAGAUUUUCAUUAUUUUCUAUAUCUAGUAAAACCAUAGACUAAGUAUUAUAAUGGCGACAGGCAAUAGCAGGCCUUUGGCUCCCAAUAGGUUCCUUAUCUCCACAUAAUGUUGUGGAAGGAUACAAUCGCCUGACUAGACGAUCAUUUGGUCGACUAUUUGUUCAAUGAGACCUGAUCGAUUUAAUAAAUAACCGUGAUGAUUAGGUGGUCAAGCGAGAUGACAAGAUGAUCAUUUGAAAAGAAGGAUACUAUCUAGCUUAGAUGACACGACGAGAUGAGUGUAGACCUGAUGACUUGAGAUGAGGUGUGUAAACCUGAUGACCUGAAACAAAGUGUAAUCUGAGACAAGGUGUAGACCUGACGAUCUGGACGAGGUGUAAACCUAAAAGCCUGGACAACUUGGUGGACGACCAAACGAGGCAUAGACCUAACGACCUGAACGAGGUGUACACCUGACAACCUAGAUGACCUAGUGGACAACCAGAUGACCAGGCGAGAUGUAGGAGUGACUUAGUGACCGACCUAAUGUCACCUACUAAUGACGGACGAUAGGACGACUUAAUGAGUAAAUGGUCAGAUCAACAAUCAAAUGGUCGGACCACUUAGUGGAUAGUGCAUAGCCUGAUGAGCAAUGUAAUAACCUAAUUAAACUGGACCAUAUUAUUUUACGCUUAUAUUAUUUUUGUAAAAGGACAUAAUUUAGUUUAGCUUAGAUUCUCUAAAGAUUUUAUUCUUCUGAAUUCUUCUAGUUCAUGUUGUGCAUGUGGGUUAAAGCCUAUGGAUGAGUAUAAAUAGUCUUUCUUGUACAUAAUAAAAGAUACUCAAUAUACAAAAAAGUAUUAUUCAUUUUACUCUCUUUUAACAUGAUAUCAGAGCAUGCGAGUUUCUAGGGUUAGAAUUUGAUAAAGGUUGUGACCUUCCCUCCACUUAAUCCAUUUUGCUAGAAUGCAAGGAUAUGAAGGAAUGACAGAUCCAAUGCCCAUAGUAGAAACUAAAGCGUCUGAUUCAAGAAAGAAUAAAGAGCAUGCAGUGGACACGGUAAAUGGUGAUCCGUUCUGCCUACAAUCAUCGAACCAUCUAGAUAUGAUUUUGGUUUCAGCUUUACUAAUAAGGAGUAGAAAUUUUAAAUCUUGGAAUAGAGCUAUGAGAAUAGCACUAGGAGCCAAGCAGAAGUUAGGCUUUAUCGAUGACGUUGUUCUGAUGCCGAGUAAAGAUAAUGAAUUCUUUUAAAAAUGGAAAAGAUGUGACUAUAUGGUCACAUCUUGGAUUUUGAACUCAAUUUCGAAAGGUCUAGUAGAUGGUUUCAUAUAUAAAGCAUCUUUGAAAGAUUUAUGGUGUGAAAUUACAGAGAGAUUUGGAGAGAGUAAUGGCACCCAAAUAUAAGAAUUACAUAGACAAAUUUCUCUCAUCUCUAAAGAAAAUUCUCUUUUUUUUUUACUUCACCCGUCUAAAAAGACUGUGGGAUGAGUUAGAGUGUAUAGAAGUUUUACCUCCAUGUUCUUGUGGAGCGUGCAAAGCAAAAGAUGAUAUGAACAAUGGGAAUAGACUCAUGCAAUUCUUGAUAGGAUUAAAUGAGAAUUUUGAUUCUGUGAGAGACCAAGUUUUAGUUCUUGACCUCCUAUCGUCCAUAAACCGAACAUAUUCUAUGGCCCUAAAGUAUGAAUCUCAAAAAAAGAUUUUGAACAAAAGAAACCCUGAAUUCAAUGAAAUCUUGUUGUUGUUUAAUCAGUCACAAAAGGGAAAACAAAAAAGUAUGAUCCAAAAAAGGGGCACUGUAAUCAUUAUAAUAUGAAUGGUGGUCAUGUUAGGGAUAGUUGUUUCAAAACUAAUAGGAUAUCCUGACUGAUUCAAGAACAAAAACAAGAUUAGAGGUGUAAUACCCGGCUUGAGUCCGGCACUGGAAUUCCUGUAGACCGGUGGAAUCUCGAGUGUCGGAACCCUCGAGAAGGGUAAGACAUAUGUUUUCAUGUGUGUGUUUAAGGGUUUUGAAUGUUUUAAAGUGUUAAAGGAAAUGAGUUUUGAAAGAAAAGCAACAAAGGAGAAAUGCAAAGGUUCGGCCGCCGAAGGUCACUUUCGGCCGCCGAACAUUGCAUGGUUUCGGAUUCACGUUCGGCUGCCGAAGGUGGUCUGGCCAGCCACCUAUAAAAGGGCCAAGAGUCGGUGGAAGGAGGAUAUUUCUCCUCCACUUGCAGCCAGAGGUGAGGUCAAGCCUCUUCCACGUUGACUUUCAUGUUUUUCAUGUUUUUCACCAAAUCUUUCAAAGUUUUUAAGAGUUUUGGUGUGUUUUGAAGGUUUUGAGCAAAAAUAUCAAGUUUGGAAGUUUGGAGCUUUGGAAGAGGUUUUCUCCAUAUCUCCACGUUAGGAUCACUCAUCCUCAAGUUCUUAAGGAGGUAAGGAUCGAUCCUGAACUUCUUUGAUGAUUUUUGACGGUUUUAUGGGAGUUGGUUGGGUAGUAUGCAUGGUUAGGUUUAAGGGAGUUUUGUUGGUAGAUGUUUGUGUUCAAGCAUGUUAAGUAUUGUUUGAUGUGUUUGUUUGAGGUUGUAGGCUAGUUUUGGAUCUCUUUAUGCAUGUUAUAUGGUAUGUGCUAGUUGGGAGUAGUUGCUAUGCAUGUUUAGGUAAGGUUUGGGUGAGUUAUGCAUGAAACAGAGCAGGGUUCUGUCCACUGGACAAAGCCAGGUUCGGCCGCCGAAAGAAGGUUUGGCCGCCGAACCCCUUAUGGAGGCAGUUUCGGCUGCCAAAGCUUGCCCCUGAACAUUUGGACUUUCGUCUCUGGAGGCAAGGUUCGGCCGCCGAAAGUGCCGCCGAAGGUUGAGUUUCGUCUCUGGACGAGACUUUCGGCUGCCGAAGGUGUCGCCAAACAUGCAUGAGUUUCGUCUCUGGAGAGGGGUUUCGGCCGCCGAACAUGCCACCGAAAGUGCCCUGUCCAGCUUUCUUUUGCAUGUUUUAUGUGAUUGUUUUAGGAUCUGUUAGAGGGCUUUUGGGGAGUUUCUUAGAGCGGUUCUUGAGUUAGUUUGAUCCCUCAUUUGAGUCCACCUGUGUAGGAACGGACCAGAGAAAUCAGGGAAGUCAGCAAUGAGCACAGGUUCAGAACCUGCAGAGGUAGUCCAGAGUCAGCCAGAGGUGAGUGGAACUUCUCUUUUCAGAACUAAAUUGCUUUUAGCAUGCUUCAUGCAUCAUGAUGAUUAUGAAAUCCCAUACAUGAUCAUACAUUUUCGAUAAAAACAUAAAACUUUUCUGUACUCCAAGGCUUAACCUGUGCAUGCACUAUAUCUUCUAUAAUAAUCCCUACUCGAGCUCCUCAUGGCUCUAGGCGGAUAAAACUCAUAAUGUUAAGCCUGGUUUUCUCAUAAACAUACAAUGCAAAUAUGUAAAUAAUAAUUGAUCAUGUGGAUACACAAAGGGAUUACACCUCUUCUAAGUCAAGCACAAGUCUAUACAUUACACAAUACACUAUCUCUUUCCAACUACAUGUCCACACUAGCUAUUACAAAUCUCUUCUUCUUCCACACUCUGCUGGACUCCCCUCUGAACUCUGAACCUGCACAACUGGGGUUAGGGGAGAGGGAUGAGCUAUACAAGCCCAAUGAGUAGAACUAUAAAACAUGGUAUUAAAACAUGAUCUCAUGGAAUGCAUCACAUCACAGACAUUUCAUCUCAAGGAUAGACAUGACCACCAAAAUUCCCACUGGGAGGAUGCCUGGCCUAGCCAGGUCUUACAACCUCAAUUUGCCUGGCCCGGCCAGGUCUUAUAAACUCUGCUCGCCUGGCCCAGCCAGGUCUUACGAUAAUCUGCUGCCUGGCCUAGCCAGGUCUUACCUACAGAAGGCUGCCUGGCCCGGCCAGGUCUUACCCAGAGCUAGGGCUAUUGGGGUCGCCUUGGUCCAUCCAUCUCAUCAUAUACAUCGUAUUAUGCAAUGCAAUGCACCAUAUUCGUGAAACUAGUGCAAUCAACCUACUAUAAUCAUCAUGAUGCAUGAAGCAUGCUAAAAGCAGUUUAGUUCUGAAAAGAGAAGUUCCACUCACCUCUAGCUGACUCUGGACUACCUCUGCAGGUUCUGAACCUGUGCUCACUGCUGACUUCCCUGAUUCCUCUGGUCCGUUCCUACACAGGUGGACUCAAAUGAGGGACCAAACUAACUCAAGAACCGCUCUAAGAAACUCCCCAAAAGCCCUCUAACAUAUCCUAAAACAAUCACAUAAAACAUGCAAAAGAAAGCUGGACAGGGCAUUUUCGGCGGCAUGUUCGGCGGCCGAAACCCCUCUCCAGAGACGAAACUCAUGCAUGUUCGGCGGCACCUUCGGCAGCCGAAAGUCUCGUCCAGAAACGAAACUCAACCUUCGGCGGCACUUUCGGCGGCCGAACCUUGCCUCCAGAGACGAAAGUCCAAAUGUUCGAGGGCAAACUUUGGCAGCCGAAACUGCCUCCACAAGGGGUUCGGCAGCCGAACCUUCUUUCGGCGGCCGAACCGACCCUGCUCUGUUUCAUGCAUAACUCACCCAAACCUUACCUAAACAUGCAUAGCAACUACUCCCAACUAGCACAUACCAUAUAACAUGCAUAAAGAGAUCCAAAACUAGCCUACAACCUCAAACAAACACAUCAAACAAUACUUAACAUGCUUGAACACAAACAUCUACCAACAAAACUCCCUUAAACCUAACCAUGCAUACUACCCAACCAACUCCCAUAAAACCGUCAAAAAUCAUCAAAGAAGUUCAGGAUCGACCCUUACCUCCUUAAGAACUUGAGGAUGAGUGAUCCUAACGUGGAGAUAUGGAGAAAACCUCUUCCAAAGCUCUAAACUUCCAAACUUGCUAUUUUUGCUCAAAACCUUCAAAACACACCAAAACUCUUAAAAACUUUGAAAGAUUUGGUGAAAAACAUGAAAAACAUGAAAGUCAAUGUGGGAGAGGCUUGACCUCACCUCUGGCUGCAAGUGGAGGAGAAAUAUCCUCCUUCCACCGACCCUUGGCCCUUUUAUAGGUGGCUGGCCAGACCACCUUCGGCAGCCGAACGUGAAUCCGAAACCAUGCAAUGUUCGGCGGCCGAAAGUGACCUUCGGCGGCCGAACCUUUGCAUUUCUCCCUUGUUGCUUUUCUUUCAAAACUCAUUUCCUUUAACACUUUAAAACAUUCAAAACCCUUAAACACACACAUGAAAACAUAUGUCUUACCCUUCUCGAGGGUUCCGACACUCGAGAUUCCACCGGUCUACAGGAAUUCCGAUGCCGGACUCAAGCCGGGUAUUACAUUCUCCCCCCCUUAAGAACAUUCGUCCCCGAAUGUUCCUCAAACAACGAAACACAUAUACACAUAGAAAAGGGGAAAACUAGCUAACUAACCUCAAAACAGAUAUGGGUAUUGCUGGAGCAUGGACUCCCGUGUCUCCCAGGUGCACUCUUCUAGGUUGUGGUGGUUCCACAGGACUUUCACCAUUGGUAUCUCCUUGUUUCUCAGCUUUCGAAUCUGGGUGUCAAUGAUCCGCACUGGCUAUUCUACAUAUGUGAGAUCUCCAAGGAUCUCUACUUCAGGUUCACUGAGAACCUUCUCUGGAUCUGACACAAAUUUCCUCAACAUAGAAACAUGGAAUACCGGGUGAAUUCUUUCCAUCGAUGCAGGUAAAUCCAGCUUAUACGACACAUUCCUGAUCCGUUGUAAAAUCUCAAAAGGACCAAUGUACCGUGGAGCUAGUUUACCUUUCUGUCCAAAUCGAACCACUGAUACUACAUGUCCUAAAAAGGCAAUGCUCCUUAGCCAGAACUCGCACUUGGAGAACUUGGCAUACAAGCCAUGCUCUCUCAAGGUCUGGAGAACUAUUCUCAGAUGCUGGGCAUGUUCUUCUGCAUUCCUGGAGUACACCAAGAUAUCAUCUAUAAAGACGAUCACAAAAUGAUCCAGGUACUCCCUGAAUACCCUGUUCAUGAGAUCCAUGAAUGAUGCAGGGGCAUUAGUCAACCCAAACGGCAUUACUAGGAACUCAUAAUGCCCAUAUCUGGUCCUGAACGCAGUCUUGGAUACAUCUCUUUCCCUGAUCUUCAACUGAUGGUAUCAGGAUCUCAGAUCUAUCUUCGAAAAACAACAUGCUCCUGACAGCUGGUCGAAUAGAUCAUCGAUCCUGGGUAAAGGAUACUUGUUCUUGGUAGUGACUUUGUUCAACUGCCUGUAGUCGACACAAAGUCGAAGAGGUCCAUCCUUCUUCCUGAGAAAUAGUACUGGAGCACCCCAGGGUGAGGUACUCGGGCGGAUGAAACCCUUGUCUACCAAGUCCUGUAACUGCUCUUUCAACUCUCUCAGCUCUGCUGGUGCCAUCCUGUAGGGAGGUAUAGAGAUCGGUCUGGUACCAGGCAUCAAUUCGAUCUCGAACUCUAUUUCCCUAUUAGGUGGUAAUCCUGGAAGCUCUUCAGGAAACACAUCUGGAAACUCUCGAACCACUGGUACUGAGGACGGUUCCCUAAUAGUAGGUUGAUUGCACUAGUUUCACGAAUAUGGCGCAUUGCAUUGCAUAAUACGAUGUAUAUGAUGAGAUGGAUGGACCAAGGCGACCCCAAUAGCCCUAGCUCUGGGUAAGACCUGGCCGGGCCAGGCAGCCUUCUGUAGGUAAAACCUGGCUAGGCCAGGCAGCAGAUUAUCGUAAGACCUGGCUGGGCCAGGCGAGCAGAGUUUAUAAGACCUGGCCGGGCCAGGCAAAUUGAGGUUGUAAGACCUGGCUAGGCCAGGCAUCCUCCCAGUGGGAAUUUUGGUGGUCAUGUCUAUCCUUGAGAUGAAAUGUCUGUGAUGUGAUGCAUUCCAUGAGAUCAUGUUUUAAUACCAUGUUUUAUAGUUCUACUCAUUGGGCUUGUAUAGCUCAUCCCUCUCCCCUAACCCCAGUUGUGCAGAUUCAGAGUUCAGAGGGGAGUCCAGCAGAGUGUGGAAGAAGAAGAGAUUUGUAAUAGCUAGUGUGGACAUGUAGUUGGAAAGAGAUAGUGUAUUGUGUAAUGUAUAGACUUAUGCUUGACUUAGAAGAGGUGUAAUCCCUUUGUGUAUACACAUGAUCAAUUAUUAUUUACAUAUUUGCAUUGUAUGUUUAUGAGAAAACCAGGCUUAACAUUAUGAGUUUUAUCCGCCUAGAGCCAUGAGGAGCUCGAGUAGGGAUUAUUAUAGAAGAUAUAGUGCAUGCACAGGUUAAGCCUUGAGGUUCGGCGGCCGAACCUGGGUCUUCCUCCAAGAUUAUUUUCAUGCAAAAACUCAUUUCUUACUUGAGUAAAACCAUAAAAUACAUUAAAACAUUUUAUGAAAACAUGACUUUACCCUUCUAGAGGUUUCCGACAUCCGAGAUCCCACCGGACGGUAGGGAUUCCGAUACCGAAGUCUAGCCGGGUAUUACACAAAAGUUUAUGAUUCCCUGUCUACAAUUCUACACACUGUAUCUUCUCUUCAGGCCUUUAUAAAUACUAUGCAUGGUGUUUCUAAUAUGAGAAAAGAAAAGAUUAAUGAUAUAACAUGUAAAUCUGCUUGCAUGCUUAAUGUUUAGGAUGUUCAUGACAGGUUGGAAUAUAUUUCUACUGGCAAACUAAAAUAUAUUGAUGGAAUUAGGUAUAUGAUAGAAAUGAAAAUUUACAGUGUGAAAUAUAUCAUUUGGCUAAACAACUUAGGCUUCCUUUUCCUAUAAGUCAUAAUUUGAGUAUACAAUCUUUUGAUUUGUUGCAUGUGGAUAUAUGGGGGCUUAUAGAGAAGAGUCCUCAACUGGAGCUUGGUAUUUCUAAUUAUUGUUGAUGAUUACACUAGACUACUUGGACCUUUAUGAUACAAUUCAAAAGUCAAAGUGUGCAUUUUCUGUUCAGAUUUUUAAAAAUGAUUGAGAAUUAGUUUGAGGCUGAAACAAAAAUUAUAAAGACUAAUAAUGGGCAUGAGUUUUUAAGUAAAGAGUGUCAAAAUCUAUUUGAAAAUAGGGAUAUUAUUCACUAGAGGUCUUGCCCUUACACUCCACAACAAAAUAGAGUGCUGGAGAGGAAACAUAGACAUCUCCUAGACACUGCCAGGACCUUAAGGUUUCAAGGCAAUAUGCCAAAGAAAUUUUUGUCGAAAUGUAUUUUGACAGCCACCUAUCUCAUAAAUAAAAUUCCUAUUGCUAGUCUUAAAUGGCAAAGUCCUUAUGAGAGGUUGUUUAAAAAGAUUCCAAAUUAUAUACACCUCAGAAAAAUUUGGUUAUUCAUGUUUUGCUACUAGAGUCAGUCCUUAUAAGGAUACAUUUGAGCCAAUGUCUAUUAAAGCUAUUAUGAUAGGAUAUGGAGGGACACAUAAGGCUUACAAACUUUAUGAUUUACAGACAAAUAACAUUCUGGUUAGCAGGAAUGUAGUUUAUUGUGAAGAUAUUAUUCCUUAUGCACAUGCUAUAGAUUUAAAUUCAUCUCGUGUGGUUCCUAUCUCCAUUAUUGAGCCUGAUAUUGUAGAUAAAGGCCUUACACCUUCAAUUCCUCACUCUAUAUCUGACCAAGACAAUUCAGGUCACUCCAUGUUCAAUCAGUCCAACCAAGACAGUUUAGGUCACUUUAUGUCUGACCAGAUCAAUUCAGGUACAUCUCCUUCUCAUAUUGAGUUAAGAAGGUCCCCUAGAAUGGCUCGCAAGCUAACUUGAUUGCAAGACUUCGUUAGUUUUUCUUCUAGCUCAACCCAGCCUAUUUUCGAGGUAUGCUUUGAGUCACACCAUCAGUCCUUUGUCCAUAAUAUAGGGGUUGUUAAUGAACCCACUACAUAUGCACAAGCUUCUCUUGAUACUCAGUGGAUUGCUGCUAUACAACAAGAAUUGACGGCUUGACGACUUUUAAGAAGAAUCAUACCUGAGUUUUUACAGACUUACCUAACGUGAAAAAGGUCAUUUGAAAUAAAUGGGUUUACAAAGUAAAAUAUAAAUCUACUGGUGAAGUGGAGUGGCUUAAGACUCGUCUAGUAGCCAAGAGCUACAAUCAAAUUGAGGGUCUGGAAUUUAAGGACAGGUUCUCUCCUGUUGUAAAACUAACAACUGUUAGGAUCUUAAUUACUUUAGCCACUGCAAAAUAAUAAGUUGUUUAUCAGCUCGAUAUUAAUAAUGUUUUUCUCUAUCGCAGUUUAAAUGAGGAGAUUUACAUGUUACCUCCUCAAGGAUAUCAUAAGACUUUACCUGGCUAGGUUUGUUUGCUUAAGAAAUCUCUCUAUGGUUUAAACAGGCCUCUAGGCAGUGGAAUAUUGAGUUUACUAGCUUCCUCAAAUCUUUGGAGUUUAAACAGUCUUCCCAUGAUCAUUAUUUGUUUAUUAAGCAAUCAGGACACUCAUUUAUGGCACUCUUAAUAUAUGUUGAUGAUGUAAUUGUGACGAGCACUUCACUUGAGAUAUUACUAUUGUUAAAACUACUUUGCAUAAUAAAUUUACUAUCAAAGAUCUAGGUUAUCUUAAAUAUUUUCUUGGACUUGAAAUAGCUCGGUCUAAUCAGGCCAUUAUUCUUAGUUAAAUGAAAUUUAUUAAUGAUUUUAUUGACUGAUGUUUGUAUGUUAAAUUGUAAACCUGCUUUAUUUCCUCUACCUAAGGGUUUACCUCUGUCACUGGAUGUCGAUGAGCCUCUUGCUCAAUUGGAUUAUUAUAGAAGGCUUAUUGGAAGACUUUUAUAUGUCAAUCUCACUAGGUCGGACAUUAGCCAUGCUGUAACAUCUAAGCUAGUUUAUGGCUACUACUAAAAAACCUUAUUAGGAAGCAGCCGUGCAUGUUUUACGAUGUAAUACCCGGCUAAAUCCCGGCAUCGGAAUUCCUACCUUCCGGCGGAAUCUCCGUUGGAAUCCAGAAUUUCGGAUGUCGGAGCCUUCUAGAAGGGUAAAAUAAAGGUUUUCUAAAAUGUUUUUGUAUGUUUUUAUGGUUUUAAUGAAGAAAGAAAUUGAGUUUUGAAAGAAAAUACCAAGGAGGGAAAAGCUAGGUUCGGCCGCCGAACAUUGGGCUCUUGCGGAAGCACCUUUGGCCCCCGAAGGUGGUCUGGCCAGCCACCUAUAAAGGGCCCCUUGUCCAAAAAUAGGCGAGUUUUCUCUCUCUAUUUUUGGGCAUAGGUGAGAUUUCGCCCUCCUUUGGUUGAUUUUAUGUUUUCCUUCAAAUCCUUCAAGUUUUUUAUGAGUUUUUACCUUUGUUUGAAGUUUUUAAGCUAAGAUCAAAGUUUUGAAACUUGGAGACCCCCGGAGCUCGAUUUCUCCCAAUCUCCAAGUUUGGAUCACCUCUCCUCUCGAUCUUCAAGAGGUAAGCGUAGAUCCUCACCUUCUUUUAUGUUUUAAGUAAGUUUUGAGGGGUUUUAAGGGUAUUUAAUGCAUGUUUAGAGUAGAUGUAAAAUGUUAGGUUAUGUUAGUUUAAUGAGAAAUGUGAUGUUAAAUGUGAUGUUUAUUGGGGUAUAGGCUAGUUUUAUGCCCCUAUAUGCUUGAUGAUGUGUUUAUGCAUGCUUUUGAGUGUUGAGUAUGGGUUUGGAGGGUUUAGAGAGGCUAGAUGAGAGAGGCGAAUCGGGUUUUGCUAUUCUGGAGAACCCAGGUUCAGCUGCCGAAGCCAUGUUUGGCCGCCGAACCUGCCUGUGGAGGCAGCUUUAGGCCGCCUAAACUCGCCCCCGAAAGUUUGGACUUUCGGCUCUGGAGGGGAGUUUCGGCCGCCGAACCUGCCCCCGAAAGUGCUUGACUUUCGGAUCUGUAGGGACCUUCGGCCGCCGAACCUGCCGCUGAAAGUCGCCUGCCCAGCCUUCCUUUGCUUGUUUCUUAUGCAUGUUUUGAUGAUGUUUUAGGGGGUUUUUGGGGAGAUGUUUAGUGUUAUGUUAGAGUUUGUUUGGUCCCUCAUUUGAGUCCACCUGUGUAGGAUCGAACCCGAGGAACCGAGAAGGCCAACAGUGAGUUAGCUGUUCCAGUGUCAGCCAGAGGUGAGUAGAACUAAACUAAUCUUUUAUUUCAAGAAAUCAAAUGUUUUAAGCAUGUUCAUCCAUCAUGUAUAUGAAAUAGGUUGGAUGCAUUAGAUUUCACGAAUAUACCGCAUUGCAUAAUUGGUUGUUGAUGUGGAUGGACAACAGGACGACCCAUUAGCCCUCUAGAUGUUAUGUUAUGUAAUGAAAGACCAGUGCUGCCAUUCUAUGCCCCUGGCACACAGCUUAUGUAUGUAAAGAAGUCCUGAGGAGCUCCAUCGAGGGCCGGGCACAAAGUAGAGGGAUUUUUUAGUCAGUCCAUCCUUGAUGUGUAUUGUCUGUGCUGUGACGCAUUCCAUACAAGCAUAUGAUUAUUAAACUGUUUUAUGUUCUACUCACUGGGCUCUAGUAGCUCACCCCUUUCCCCUAACCCCCAGGUUUGCAGGAGCAGAGAUAGUGCGGGAAGUCGCCAAGGUUGAUGAUACAGUCUUUGUAAUAGAUUAGUAGUGGACAUGUAAUGUAUUGUGGAUAGUAUUGUGCUUGGCCCUAUUGGUAGAUGGUAAUCCCUUGGUACAUGAUCUUUAUGUAAAUGUUUUAAUUGAUGAGAUGUAUUGAAUCAAGCUUGAUGUAUGAGAUGUUGACCCUACUAGAGCAUUUGAUGAGGGCUCUAGUAUGGGGUUUUUAUGUUUACAGUUAUGAUGCAUGCACAGGUCAAACUUGGUAUAUGAAAAGUUUAAGUUUUUAUGAAAAUUUUAAGUUUUUAUGAAAAUGUAUGAUCAUGUAUGGGAUUUCAUCGGGUAUAUCAGGAUGUAUAUUAGGCUUGCUACGGGUUCCGACGACCUUAAGUCGAUUUGAAUCUUAACGCCAGUAAUGGUCCGGUUUUCGAGUUGUUACAUAUGAUAUCUAAAGGCUAUUGUUAAUAUUGGUCUUCAUUUUUAUAUCAUUAGUGAUUUUUGAAUUACUAUUUAUUGUGACACAGAUUGGACAUCUUGUUAUUUUUCUCGAAAUCUUUAAUUGGGUUUGGGAUCUUUCUUGGAUCUUUAAUGAUUUCUUAGAAAAUAAAAAAGCAAACUAUUGUUUCUAAGUCCUCUACUGAAGCAGAGCAUAGGGCCAUGGCUACAACAGUUUGUGAAUUGCUUUAUAUUAUAUCUGUUUUACGAGACUUGCAGGUUCUUAUUAAUUAUCCAGUUCAGCUUUAUUGUGACAACAAGGUGGCUAUACAAAUUGCAGCUAAUCCGAUUUUUCAUGAGAGGACAAAACAUAUUGAUAUUGACUGUCAUAUUAUGCGAGAACAACUUUAGAAAAGUUUUCUAAUUACUUCACAUGUGUCAAGUCAAGAUCAGAUAGCAAACCUAUUCACUAAGCCUUUAUCGGGUGCAUUACAUCAACAAUUUUGAUCCAAGUUGUCUCUGGUAUCUCUCCUUGCUCCAUCUUGUAAGAGGGGUAUAGAAGGAUACGAUCAUUGUAACGCCCCGGAAAUCCGGACCGCUACCGGCGCUAGGAUCCAGAUCGGCAUAAGGCCGCCGGGACCCGUAGCAAGCCUAACAUAUACCUGUAAACCUGCUUAAUCCCAUACAUGAUCAACCAUCAUACAUAAAAAUUAAAACUUUUCUUUUAUACAUGUAAUCAAUCACCAACUCAACCUGUGCAUACUCUGAACAUAUACAUAAAUAAAGUCCCUCUGUGGGAUCUCAUCAAAGCCUCGAAGGGCUAUACAUCAUGUGUUGAGUUAGUUUUGCAUAAACAUCAUAUCAUAAGAUCAUGUACAUAAAAAGGGAUUAGCAAUACACUAUAGUCAAGCACAAUUCUAACCUCAAAAUCUCAUUACAUAACAUACUGAAACUCUUACAUUUCAUCAUAAUACAACUGUCAUGUCCACAAUCUAACUAUUACAUACAUAUGACUUUUCUCUUCUUUUCUUCUCUAUCAAUCCCGUACCUGCAAACCUGGGGGUUAGGGGAGAGGGGUGAGCUAGAUGCCCAGUGAGUAGAACUAUAAAAAAAAAAAUAUUUAAAACAUGCUAUAAUGGAAUGCAUCAUUGCACAAACAUUUCACAUCAUGGACGGACCGACCCAAAAAUCCCUUAGCUCCAUGCCCGGCCCUAUUAUGGGCACCACAGGACUUCGUAUUGCCCGGCCCUAUUAUGGGCACCACAGGACUUCGUAUAUCGGAGCUAUUGCCCGGCCCUAUUAUGGGCACCACAGGACUUCGUACACAGGACUAGUGAGUCGUGCAAUGUCCCUCCUCAUCAACCACAAUAUAAUAAUGCAAUGUAGCAUAUUCGUGAUUCUAAUGCAAACAUCCUAUAUUAUAGUCAUGAUGCAUGAAACAUGAUAAAAUAUUCACUUUAUUAAUUUAAAAGGUUAAGUAUAGUUCCACUCACCUCUGGCUGACUCUGUCAAACUCUCAGCAGCUGGCUCACUGCUGGGGUCCUUGGUUCCUCGGGUCCGAACCUACACAGGUGGACUCCAAUGAGGGACCAAACACAUAUAAACAUAUCUCUAAUAUAUCCCCCAAAAACCCCCUAAAACAUCAUGAAAACAUCACAGAAAAUAUGCAUGAAAUGGCUGAACAGGACACCUUCGGCGGCACCUUCGGCGGCCGAAAGUCCUGGACAGAGACGAAACUCAGCUAGGUUCGGCGGCACCUUCGGCGGCCGAAAGUGCCAGACAGAGACGAAAGUCUCUUUUCGGGGGCACCUUCGGCAGCCGAAAGGCCUGCCUCCCCAGCCAUGUUCGGCGGCCGAAAGUACCUUCGGCUGCCGAACCUGGUUUCUGCCAAAGGGCAGAAACUUGGCUCCCUUUGCACAUUUCGCCUCCAAAUCUAUAAAUCAUGCAUAUUUUUCAACCAAAGCAUGCAUACAAGUUCCUAGGGGCCUCAAACAUGCAUAUACCCCAUCUACAACACUUCAUUCAUACACAAUCAAGCUACAUUGCUCAAGAUCUCAACAUAACCCAUAAACUCAACAUAUGUCCUAACAUGCAUUUCUACCCAUAGAUCUUACUUAAAACUUGUUUAAAACAUAAAAAGGGUUCAAGAUCGACCCUUACCUCUUGAAGAAACGAGAGGAAAGUGAUCCUAGCUUGGAGAUGGAGAGAUUAAGCUCUUUGAACCUCCAAGCACUCAAAACUUGCUCAAAACUUGCUCAAAGCUCACAAAUCUUCAAAACGAAGUUAUAAACUCGUUAAAACCAUGAAAGAUCUAAAGGAAACACUCAAGAUCGAGGGAGGAGCGGUGGAGACUCACCUUGGCCGACAAUGGGAGAGAAAAAGCUCGCCCGUGCGGACCUAGGGGACCCUUUUAUAGUGGCUGGCCAGGCCACGUUCGGGGGCCGAAUGUGCCUCCGCAUCCAUGCAAUGUUCGGCGGCCGAACAUAAGGUUCGGCGGCCGAACCUGCACUUCCCUCACUUAGACUUUCGGGGGCCUAACGUGCCUCCCAAAGUCCAUGCAUGUUCGGCGGCCGAAAGUGAGUUUCGGCGGCCGAACCUGGGUUUUCCCUUAAAGAAAUUUUCAUGCAAAAACUCAUUUAAAAUCAUACUUAAAACAUUAAAAACAUGAAAACAUUUUAUAAAAACAUGCUUUUACCCUUCUAGAGGUUUCCGACACCCAAAUUCCAUCGGACGAUGGGAAUUCCGGUACCGGAGUCUAGCCGGGUAUUACAAUCAUCUGACCAGACGACUGCCUGGCUGACCAUUUGUUCAGCAAGACGACCACCUGGCUGACCUAAUAGAUAACCAUGACGACCAGGUGGUCAAGCGAGAUGACAAGAUGACCAUCCGAAGAGAAGGAUAUGACUUGGCCCAGACAACCAAAUGAGAUGACUAGAUGAAAUGAUUUAGCAAAUGACUAGACGAGGUGUGUAGACUUGACGACCUGAGAUAAGGUGUGUAGACCUGACAACCUAUGACGUGGUGUAAAUCUGAGAUGAGGUGUAGACCUGACGACUUAGACGAAGUAUAGACCUGACGACUUGGACGACCUGGUGGAUAACCAGAUAAGGUGUAGACCUGACAACCUAGAUGAGGUGUACACCUGAAGACCUGGACGACCUAAUGGACGACCAAAUGACCAGGCGAGGUGCAGAGGUGACUUAGUGACCAACCUAAUAUCACCUACUAACGACCGGACGGUAGGAUGACUUGACGAGCAAAUGGUCGAACCACUAAGUGGAUAAUGUAUAGCCUAAUAACCGGUGUAACAAUCUGAUUAAACUGGACCACAUUAUUUUACACUUAUAUUAUUCUUGUAAAAGGACACAGUUUAGUUUAGUUUAGAUUUUUUAAAUAUUUUAUUUUUUUAAAUUCUUCUAGUCCGUGUUGUGCACGUAGAGUUAAAACCUAUAGAUGAGUAUAAAUAGCCCUUCUUAAACUGAGUAAUAAAUACAUCAAUAAAUAAAAAAAUAUUAUUCAUUUUUCUCUUUUUUUAACAGAUGAUUCCCCUUUGCUCUUCAUGAUAAAAUUGGGUAAGCUCACCUCCUGUUUGUGUUAAUGCAGCUUUGAAAGCUAUAUCUUACCUACUAAAAAAACAAAAAAUAAAUUAAUAGGCUAAAAUAUUAUAUGGAGAAUCUAUUGCUUAUAAUAAUGAAAGCAUGCAUAAAGGUUAAAAUAAGACAAUAAAAAUUGAAGUGUCACCAAACAUUUUUAAAUACACUUUAAAUGUCAAUUUAUUUGUAUAUUCUUUUUUCUAUAAUCGAUCUUGUUGCCCAUCAUUUGAAAUUGGCUCUCAAUAAUUUAUUUUGCAAAGUAUAAAUUAUAUCAUCCAUCUCUUAAUUUUUAUCUUACUGUUUUGCCGUUCCUUAACUCCUUUUAGUUACCAAAAAAUCACACAACAUGCCCGCAUUAAAUUUCUUCGGCCAUAAUCGAGUUAAUGCUUCGGCAUAAUCAUACGUAACUUGCUGACGUAUCAAUUAAAUUUGUUAAGAAAAUAAAACGAAAUGUCAACUUAUACUUUAUUAUAUUUAUAUGUUACACAACACUAUUUAGAAUAGAGUUAAAUAAUAAUGUUAGUAUCGGUACUUUGAGUAAUAAAUAAUAUGUUAUCUCGUUAAAAAAUAUUUUUUAUAAAAAAUAUUAUUUAAAUAUGAAUUAUUUUUUAUAAGUAAAUAUAGCUUUAAGCUCAAAUAAAUUGAGAGUAAUGGAAUAUAUAAAGAGAAAGAGGAAAAGUGUUUUUCAAUCUAAGGUUUUUUUUUAAAAUUUUAAUUGACAAGUCAGUAGGUAUAUAUUACACUGGAGUAUUGGUCCAAGAGAAAUUUUACCAUACACUUCGAAUGUAUACAUCCAUAUGAUACAAUUAUAAAUACGUAAUUUAAAAUUAAAAAAAAUAUAUACUUAUCUGAAAUAUAGUGAGACCCAUGUUAAUAUUUGAAAUUCUCACCUUCAAUUAAUUGGAUGUAGAAAUGAAUUUGUCGAUAGAAAUUUUCUUGGCGGAAUUCUGGCUGAACAGAUUUAAUCUGAGCAUAUUUUGAAGUUGAGUGGUUUUUUAUAACACAAUGAACUUGAAAGAUUGACAUGAAUCAGUUGAAGGGCGGAUGGUUUAAUUUACCUUUCUUGCAAGAAUGAUAAGUGCAACGCACAUUUUAAAUGGGUUUCUUGAAUUUUCGUUAAAUAUUGCAUGUUGGAAUUUUUUUUUUAACUUUUUUUAUAUUUAAGUGCAUAUUUUAAUGUUGCUUGAUGGAAUCCCCUUGAGUCAAAACUUUUUUAUAUUUAAGUGUAUAUUUUAAUGUUGCUUGAUGAAAUCACUUGAUUCUAGCCCUCCAAAUUUAAUAGUGAUAUAACAAAAUAAUAGGUUAAAGUAGACCCGGUAUUCGAAGAUAGGGUUAUAUGACAAUGGUAAAAUUUUGAUAAGGUGAUAUUCGUCUAAAAAAAAGAGAAAAAAAAACUCAAACGCUUUAAAUCUCAACUCUUUAUAAAGAUUCAUUCUCUCAACUACAGGCGAAAUUCUAUAGAAAAUUACCGCUCAUGGAUACAAUUGAUCUCCAUUAAAUCUCAUCAAUUAAUCGGUACCAAUUAGAUUUUCAAAAAAUAUGAUAAUUAAUUUCAUAUUACUGUAUAAAACUUAACGAUCUCAUAAAUCAAAAUACAUAUUCUUAUAAAAUUAUUCUUAAAUUUUAAUCAAUUUUUAUUUUCUUUAAUUUACUGAACGUCGGAGUGACUAUGACAUACGUCAACCAUGUCAUAUUCUCUUUCUUAUCACAAUGACCAAUUGCGGUAUAAUAUCAUUUUAGUCAAAUCAUAUAGGUAUUAUUCUUUAUCAAUUUAAGAUUGGAUUAUUAUUAAUUUCAUGUGAUUUAUAAAAAAUUAUUGUUUAAUUUAUAUUAUUUAGUCUUAUAAUUUGAAUAUUUAUAUUAUUUACUUUUCUAAUUAAUAUUACAACAAGCUCACUAAUAUUUUAUUUAAUAUAAAAAAGUAAAAAGUUUGAUUUUAUAAAAUGUUUGGUUUUUUUAAUUGAUAAUUAGAACGUAAAUUAAGUAAAUGGCCAUGAAAAAUAAAAUAAUGAAAAAAAAAAGGUACAAAAGGAAGGCUGAAACGCCGGUUGGAAGUAAAGAGACUGUCUCUACAAAGACUAGACGAAAAAGAAAAGCUGGAAGUAUUAAGGAAGCUGUGGAGAAGUUGUCAAAGAUGCAGUCCCCAUUCACAACUAUUUCCCAUUAAUUCAUUAAUAACAAUUUCACAUUGAAAAUGACCAAUAACCGAUAAUAAUUAAUUGAUGGGAAAGUUACUGUAGUUGUUUGAAUUUUUUGAAAAUUAAUCGGUUCAUUUCUAUUUAAAAUUACUUCCUUCGUUUAUUUUAUACAAAAUAUUUUUUAAAAAAAUAAUUUUUAUUUUUUAAUAUUUAAAAAAUUUAAUUAAUAAAAAAUAUUUAUAAUCAAACAAAAAAAUAAACUAGAAAAUGACUCUUUCUUCGCUUUAAAAUUCUUAUUAAGACUUUAUAUAUAAAUUUAUUAAUAUAUUUUAUUUUUUAAAUUAAAAUUAAAUAGUAAAAAAUUAAUUAUUUUAUUAAAAAAUAUUUUCUGCAAAAAAUAUUUUUUAAAUAUAAAUUUUUUUCUACAAAUAAAAUGGAGUCUGAAUAUUAAAAUUAAAUGUGUAAUGUUUUGUAAAAUUAAGCUUUUUAGCUAAUUUAUUUUAAUUAAAGAAAUUAAAUAGUAUAAAUAUUUUAAAUUAUAAAAAUUAAAUUAAUAUUUAUAAUUAAAAUUAUAAAAAAUAUAAAUAAUUUAAGAUAGUUAACUAUUUUCUUAAUAUGAUAGUGAAAGAAUUAGAUUCUAUAAAAUAUAAAAGUGUUUUAAUUGAAUAAUUUCAAAAUAAAAAAAAAAACUAAUUAAUUUUUCAAAAAUUCAAAAGUUUUAAUAAUAAUUGACCCUUAAUUAGUUAACACUAAUUGCUAACAUUCUCUUCUAACCAGCCGAAUUGUGACGGUUUCUGACUGGCCUAAACUAGAGAAGGCUGGCAGUAGUCCCCGUCCUCCUCCAUUUGCUUUUUUAAUUUAGUUUUUUAGAAAUAAAGAAUAAUCUCUUAAUUUCAAAAAAAAAAAAAAAUCUCUUAUAUGCUUGAAAUUUUAAUGAAUUUGAUUUUCUUUUGCUUUUUCAUGGAGAUUUUGACCAAAUGUUGUUUCGUUGGGUGUCCUUUUAUUAGAAUUUCUUAGGGAUGAAUUAUUUUCGAUGGGAGGUUAAAAAUAUUAAAUUUUAUUUUUUGAUUUAAAUUUAUUAUUUUAAUUAUUAUUAUUAAAAUAUUAAUUAAAUAUAAAUAAUUGAAAAUAAGAACAAAUAAAUUAAAGUAUAUCUCACACUCUAAAAUUUUAAUAAAAUGAUGAUCUUAUUAAUUAAUUUAAUGAUAUUUUAUUUAAAUAAAAAAAAUAAAAUUUAAUUUUUUUAUUAUAUUAUUCAGAAACAAAUUUAUUUUAAUUUUUUUUAUCAAGACUACAUCAUUUUUAUGCCCGACUAUAGAAAGAAAAUUCGUCUUUUAUUUAUUUUUAUUCUUAUUAAUCUGAUUUUUCUUUUAAAUGUUAAUUUUGGUCUUUCACAUCUUCAAAAAAGAAUCUAUCGUCUCAAGGAGAUCUCCACGCCUACUCCUUUUUUCUUCUUCGUUAUAAAUUUGCCUUCCUCCUACUCCAUAUUUUCUCCAUCCAUUUAAGUCAGAUUUAUACCUUAAUCACCUAGCUCUUCUCCAGCUCUUCGUCACAUCGGUUCCUCUGUAUGCAUAGAGUGUUGGGUUGUUUCUCAAGUGAGCUAUGGUCUUGGGAAAGGAACAUCGCUGGAAAGCAGUUGGUAAUUGGGAUUGUCGACCAUCAGACCUUUAUUUGCACAUCACUUUUAAAUCAUUUGAAUUCGUUUUAAAUUAAACUAUUAUUAUAAAAAAUCCAAACAUUUUAAUUUUAUAAUUGUUAGUUUAAUAAUCUAUAUAACUUAUAAUUUACAAGAAUAAUUUAUAUUUAAAUUUCUAAUAAUAAAAUAAAAAAAUACUUAAAUUUAUUUAUUUAAAAAUAUAUAAUAUAUAUUUAAUUAAUUAUUAUAUAACCUAAAAAAUUUAAAUUUAAUUUAAAUUUAAUAUGAUUAUUAUUUUUAAUAUUCAAACUUAUUUCAAAUCUGAUCAUAUCCUAUCCAUUAUUCAAUUUUAAAACCUAUGGACUCAAGCCGAUUCUAAAUUUGGUUCCCAAUUCGGCCCAUUGCUAGGCUGGACCAAUUCAAAGCUCAUUGCAAAAGAUGCGGCGUAAUACGACACCGUAUAAUUUAAGGUUGGCUACUUCUCAACGCAAAACCCUAAUUACUAUACCUCUAUCCUCUAUAUAUACACCUCCGAAGCCCUUUCUCCUUCGUAUACUCUUUACUUUCUCUUCAGUUCUUAGAUUUCCUAGACCAAAAUUAACUUUCUUUUUCUUUCAUUUCAAUUUUGUGUUGAAGAAGGGUGCAGUGAUGAAUCAUUUAUACUGUGGACUAGAGUUUCUGAUCUGGGAAUCUCUCCCAGAAGUUGAAGACUAACCCUUGGCUGUCUGAGUACUCUUCUUCAUCCUGUUUAUCCUCUUUUUUUUUUUUGUUUCUCGUGUUUUUGGUCGAUCUUUUAAAGGGGCUUAUGAUGAUAAUAUAAAUUAUCUUAGCGGAUUUCAGUGAGAUAAAUAUAUAAUUUAUCAAUGAUCUGAUUGUUACACACACUGAGGCCUACUCAUGAGAUUAUUGAUUAUUUGUCUGAUAUAGAUUUAGGGAUUUGAAUGCUCUGAUGAGGUUAAACACUGAUGUGUUUUGAAGGACAGUGGACGAGUCCCCGUUUUCGGACUGGCGGUUGAGCCAAUCUCAUUUAACGACUUAUCCUUCCAAAUCUCAAAUGAUUUUAAAAUUUUCAUAUACUACUGGGUGAAUAUUUUGAACUUGAUACAUCCUACGGCUAGCAUAUUCGCCCUUCUACGUGCUUUCUUAGAUGUAUAAAUUGUCGACUGGAGAAUUCUUCAGCUUACAGCAUCCUUCUUCGCUGCGACACGGUCUCCCCCUAAUAAAACCUAGAGUUUGUAAGUCUACCUAUUGGACAUCCCAGAGUGUGUAACUAUCAUUGAAGGAGGUUCUUCGUAUUUCAGUGUGAUUUUUCGAAAGCAAUAACUUUCGGAUUCGUUGAUACUUGUUAUCUUAUUUUCUCCUUCUGAAUAAUUAAAAAAUGUGAAAAAGGUUUAAAUUAAAUUUAGCAUAUCUUUUUUUUUUUAAUUUUAUUAACACAUAUUAG